rnacentral:rRNA from 1 species
UACGGGGGGAGCAAGCGUUGUUCGGAUUUACUGGGCGUAAAGGGCGCGUAGGCGGCCAGCGCAAGUCAGUUGUGAAAUCUCCGGGCUUAACUCGGAACGGUCAACUGAUACUGCGCGGCUAGAGUGCGGAAGGGGCAACUGGAAUUCUCGGUGUAGCGGUGAAAUUCGUAGAUAUCGUUUGGAACGCCAACGGUGAAAACAGACAGCUGGGAGUGUGCUGACGCUGAGACACGAAAGCCAGGGGAGCGAACGGG